rnacentral:rRNA from 1 species
GAUGAACGCUGGCGGCGUGCCUAAUACAUGCAAGUCGAGCGAACGGACGAGAAGCUUGCUUCUCUGAUGUUAGCGGCGGACGGGUGAGUAACACGUGGAUAACCUACCUAUAAGACUGGGAUAACUUCGGGAAACCGGAGCUAAUACCGGAUAAUAUUUUGAACCCCAUGGUUCAAAAGUGAAAAACGGUCUUGCUGUCACUUAUAGAUGGAUCCGCGCUGCAUUAGCUAGUUGGUAAGGUAACGGCUUACCAAGGCAACGAUGCAUAGCCGACCUGAGAGGGUGAUCGGCCACACUGGAACUGAGACACGGUCCAGACUCCUACGGGAGGCAGCAGUAGGGAAUCUUCCGCAAUGGGCGAAAGCCUGACGGAGCAACGCCGCGUGAGUGAUGAAGGUCUUCGGAUCGUAAAACUCUGUUAUUAGGGAAGAACAUAUGUGUAAGUAACUGUGCACAUCUUGACGGUACCUAAUCAGAAAGCCACGGCUAACUACGUG